GCGACUAUUUAACGGAAACGUAAGGUUAUUCAAAAACAGUAAUGCGAUGAUAACACGAUUUGCGCACUGUGAUAAGACCGAGCCACCGUUAGUCGUUACUGCGUCACAGAGCGCGUUAAUAUCAUCUUCAGUUUUCAACGGUUCUCAAGUGUAGUGUAGUUAGAAAAAAUAAAAACUGUGAGUGAAAACUGUAACUAUUUAUUUUGCUAUUUGUAGCCCGCAAGUGUUGCUAUAGCAUACACUGCAACACCCGUGCGCACGCCUAUGGUGUUGGUAUACGGUAAAUAAUACGGAUAUAGCCGAUAUAGGUUGACACCAGCUACUAUAAUAACAAGGUACAUUCAUUUUUACUGGAAACCUGAAAACAUUAAAGAAGUAUAUCUAUUAGAGAAGAACAUUUAAGACAAUAAGACAUUAACGGCGUGUCGGCUUAUACUGGAUAAAUAACAUGACGUGUUGGGCCACCACCACAGUGCUUUUUCCCCUACGAUCGCCGAGUGCCAUUUGUUGGUAAAAACCCACAUUCUACUACGACAAGAAACGGCCAUCGACUCUAAAUAAUUCAGUGUGUUAUUUUGUUACGAAACCCAUCGUCCUGUUCAACACUUACGAAAUUGGAGUAUUGCGGGGGAAACUACCCUAACCUCGCCCGUGUUAUCUACCAAAGACAUUAGAAGUUUAUACUUAGACAUAAUUACAUAUUUAAACAAUGAAUAAUGAUGUUCAAUAUUUUGUAAUAAUUUAAAAAUUAUAUGUAAAAUUUUAUAGUUUAUUCUCGGGGAUUAAAACAUUUACCUAAUAUAUACAAUAUACAUCAAGAAUUUUACUUUAUACAAUAACAUUUUCAAAAUAUGUAGAUUGAUUCUAAGAUAUAAUUUUUUAUUUAUUUUUAUGAACCUAUAUAUAUAUUUUUAAGAUGUUUACAGUACUUAAAGGUAUUUUUUUAU